rnacentral:miRNA from 1 species
CCUCCGAAGUUUCCCUCAGGAUAGCUGGCGCUCUCGCAGGAAAAAAACGGGGCAGUUUUAUCCGGUUAAAGCGAAUGAUUAGAGGUCUUGGGGCCGAAACCGAUCUCAAC